UGCGUUAUUUUAGGGCAAGAUAGAGCAUGGCGAGUCCAAGAGUACAGCGGUCGCGGCGGAGCGAAGGGGACGCCCAUCGCCGAGGUAGGGAGCAUGGGCGCAGCCGGAACAGCGAUGGCGAGCGUGACGGGCGUGGAAGAGCAAGGGAUUCGGACAGGGAUGAGGCUGCUGUGAGACGUAGGAGCGAGGACGAUGGCAGGGAUGGAGCUAGGCGUGGGGGGAGAGAGAGGUCUAGUGACAGGGAAGAGCGAGAGAAAUGGGAAACGAGAACUAGAGUCAAGGAUGAAGCAAAGGAGCCCAGGAGUGUAGAGAAUGUGUUUAAAAGGGAGCGUGGAGAUGAAGCGGCGAUGGAGGAUUUGAGUAGCAAGCGUGUCAAAGUGGAGCCGGGGGACAUUGAGAACGAGGAUAGAGAUGGGGAUGAAGCUAAAGAGAUCCCUCGCAGGAGCAAGGACGAUAGUAUAGCGCUCAUGGAGCAAGCAGAAGCUGCUUUGGAGGCCAAGGAACAAGCAAAGGAGAAGGCCUCGUUUGAGUACACUGGGAAGCUCGCAGCUGAGACCAACAAAGUCAGUGGUAUUGCGUUGCAGUUUACGGAGCCUCCCGAGGCUCGCCAGCCCAGUGUCCGAUGGAGGCUCUACGUUUUCAAAGACGGAGCGCCUUUGGAAGACCCGCUUUUCAUACAUCGGCAGAGUUGCUAUCUGUUUGGACGAGAAAGGAAGGUUGCAGACAUUCCGAUCGAUCAUCCCUCUUGCAGCAAGCAGCACGCGGUCAUCCAGUACAGGCUCAUCGAGAAAGAAGUGGAUGGACUUAUGUCGAAAAAGAUCAGGCCCUACGUCAUGGAUCUGGGAAGUACCAACAAAACCUUCUUGAAUGGAGAAGCGGUCGAGCCUCAACGUUACUACGAACUUUUUGAGAAGGACACUCUCAAGUUUGGCAACAGCAGCCGCGAGUACGUUCUUCUUCACGAAAACUCAGCAUAGAUUACGUCUCUAGGCCAAAUUUUCUAACAUCUUCGCGAAGAAGAGAAGCAAUGAUUCCAUCCAACGGCUGUGGUGAGCGUUCGAUCGGACCGCCAGGUGUUGAUGCCCGCGUUCGAAUCCUGCGGCCACCUCAAUUUAGGUCUCCAUUCUUAUUCAUCUCCCCCAUUUUUUCUCUUUC